rnacentral:lncRNA from 12 species
GCUUGAAGCAGAGGGGAACUAGGCCAUUCUUUCCCCACAGGGAGGAGCAGGUGUGGAAGAUCCUUCCAAAUGAAGAAAUACCAAGAGGAAAUGAGAAGUGUUCCUCCUUCCCAACUGAGACAUGGAGAAUAAGCUGCCAGUUCUUAUGGAGCCCGCAGAGCUGGUCCACUCUGGAAAGAAUGAUGAGUCUGUGAAGAAGUCCGUGGGACCUGGCCCCCAGACGGAUACCCCCUGGGGUGCGGAGAGCAUCUGAUCUCACAGGGCAGCCAGAUUUUACUUCCUACAAGAAGUCGUUUUGGAAUUGACUUAAGCUUUAAUGCAAUAAGCUUAUCCCUACAAGGACCAUUUUCAGCAGCUAGGGAUGGCAUCUUUAGGGAACCCCAGCCUGACAGAUGUCACUUGAGCAGGUUGCAGGGUGCGGGAAUGCAAAACACGUUUUAUACAGAAUUGCCCGUUUUCUCCAUUCUCCUGUGACUCUGGAUUAUGGCAUUCUCUCAACAACUUAUGUCAAUACAACCUUGCGCCUAAGAGUCUUCAAGUCUUGGCUAUAGGAAAGCUAUGAGAGAUAAUUUGCAAGGGGCCAUGAAGACUAUAGCUAGGCAUGUGUUGUUUGCUGUGGGCCAGUCUUCCUUGUAAAUGGCACCAAUUGGGAUUGAGAGUGCGAUGGGGAAUGAAAUAAUAAUAUGAAUAAUAAAAAAUAAAAUCUC